AUGAACGCUGGCGGCGUGCUUAACACAUGCAAGUCGAACGGACUUAUGUUGAAACCUAGUGAUAUAUAAGUUAGUGGCGGACGGGUGAGUAACGCGUGGAUAACCUGCCAUAUACAGGGGGAUAACACUUAGAAAUAGGUGCUAAUACCGCAUAAGCGCACAGCUUCGCAUGAAGCAGUGUGAAAAACUCCGGUGGUAUAUGAUGGAUCCGCGUCUGAUUAGCUUGUUGGUGGGGCAACGGCCUACCAAGGCGACGAUCAGUAGCCGGUCUGAGAGGAUGAACGGCCACAUUGGAACUGAGACACGGUCCAGACUCCUACGGGAGGCAGCAGUGGGGAAUCUUCCGCAAUGGGCGAAAGCCUGACGGAGCAACGCCGCGUGAGUGAAGAAGGUCUUCGGAUCGUAAAGCUCUGUUGUCGGGGACGAAUGUAGUUACCAUCAACAACCGUAACUAAUGACGGUACCUGACGAGGAAGCCACGGCUAACUACGUG
rnacentral:rRNA from 1 species